UGUGUGUGUGAGAGAGAGAGAGAGAGAGAGAGAGAGAGAGAGUCGCACAGACACUUCCAACUUGCAACUUUGCAAGUUGCAAUAAAGAAGCAACUCUUGAAGCCAAAGGCAGCGCUUCUUAGUUGGCGAUUCUCUCUCUCUCCUCCCCCUCCAUUCAUUAAAUUCUUCUUACGUUUAUCUGUGUUACAAAGCAAACAGAGAGACGGGGAAAGCUACAUACAUCUCUUGACUCCACUUUUAAUUCAUAGUCUUCUUUGCAGAUCGUUUAACAUUCGGCGAGAGACACUUCUCUGCAGCUUCGCAGCCACGCCCUUAACUUUGCCAGGAUGGCGACCCACAAGCGGCGGGGUGGGGGGCCGUGGGGCGAGCCAGACUUCUUGGCUCCAGGCUCCUUGACGGUGGGGGGGGCAGUGGGAAGAGCUUCCCAGGCUAUUGGCUCUGGGCGGAGGCCACAACGGCCCAUGGCUGCAUUUAGGAGCGCCCAGGGCUCCGGCGACCAGCUCAGGCUGCGGCGAUCAUGGCGGCUUUCCAAUUGUGGAGGGACUAUUUCCAGCUGGCUCGCGUGGUGCAAGAGAUGCGCUGGCGGAGCGCGAGGAGCAGCUGGCCGGGGGCUUUCGCGGACCAGGCGCCGCCGCCGCCGCCGCGCAAGGAGGCGCCCCCUGCCGGGGUCAGCAGGCCGGCGCGCCACUGCGCCUUCUGCAAGCACAACGGCGAGUCGAGGGCCAUCUACGCGUCGCACGCGCUGAAGGACUCGGCCGGGAGGGUGCAGUGCCCGAUCCUGAGAAAUUACACUUGCCCUCAGUGCGGGGCAUCUCAGGAUCGGGCGCACACGAGGAAGUUCUGCCCUUUAACCAACAAGGGCUACACGUCCGUCUACAGCUGCGUCCGGAAUUCGGCCGGGAAGAAGGCAAGCAACUUCAAAACGAAGCCAGCCUUUCCUAAAACUUAAAAAAUAAGAAGGUGGGAAGGGGAAUAUUAUUCUCUCUCUCUCUCUCGUUUUCUCUUUCAGCAGCAAAGGUUCCAACCUGGUGGUAAGUACUCUUCCUCUUCCUAUCCCCACCACCCCAGGCCGCCUUUGUCUGUUAAGCGCAUCUGAAAAGCAAACUCUUGAAAUCCCACUAUCCGAAAUGGCCAGACCUUGUCUGGAUGUUUAGGAGGAAGGCGGCCCCCUGGGGUUGGGGAAGGAAAAGGAGGCGGAUGGGGAGUUGGAAGGCGAGAGUGGGUUUAGUCCUGUGGGCAUCAGUGUCACCGUUUUGUAUCCAAGUAACUUUUACUCAGAGUAAACCCAUUGAAAUGAACAGGGCUAAGUUGUUUGUGACCUUUAGUGGGUCUGAGUAAGACUAAGGUGGAUUCAAUGUAUAAAGAAUAACUAUUAUUAUUAUUAUUUGUCCUCCAAGAGCGAUUGAGCGACAUUCCGGUGCCGAAUGAGUUACUUUUCAUCCUGGCUCACACUUCCCGUACAUUUGCAGCUGUACCAGAGCUAGCACUUUUCUUGAAGUCAAGGGAAACUUUGGAUCUAAUAUACCCCAAGUGGUUGGUCUGCAGGAAUCAACUGAAAUAUUCAGAAGGAACCUUGACAGAAAAAGGAGAGAGGGAAAAAUAGUCCAGGAUGGCAACAUUUACUUCAGGUGGCACUGGUACAUCACACCAAGGGCCUGGAAAUGAAUUCUCUCAGUACUAUCACAAUCUACUCACUCGCUAGUCUUGUUUUUUAAUCCAGCUACUCUUCCUGCUUGAAUUAUUUCACAUUCAUGUUAUUACAGAAGUCUGACUCAGUGUGAAGAGUGUCCACUUGAGACAAAUGUUAUCUGAUUUCCCAAAUCACCGGUCUGAAGUCUCCCAAUGUUUGUAUUUGUUUAAAGUUUUGUUUAAAUGCAUGCUUGUUUUUCAAGUGAUAUUUGUUGGCCAGGUUUUAUUUGGGUCUUAAGAUGUAUGGUCAAUAAUUACUUUGUUUGGUUAAUAUUAUGACUUUAUGUGGUUAUUUAUUUGUUACACAAAAGCAAUACAGCGUUUUAAAAACCCUAAA